GUGAGGAAUAUUGCGCAAUGGAGGCAACUCUGACGCAGCCAUGCCGCGUGCAGGAAGAAGGCGCUACGCGUUGUAAACUGCUUUUAACCGGGAAGAAACCCCAGGACGUGUCCUGGGUUGACGGUACCGGAGGAAUAAGCACCGGCUAACUUCGUGCCAGCAGCCGCGGUAAUACGAAGGGUGCAAGCGUUAUCCGGAUUCAUUGGGUUUAAAGGGUGCGUAGGCGGAGCGUUAAGUCAGUGGUGAAAUCCUGCAGCUUAACUGUAGACUUGGCAUUGGUACUGGCGCUCUUGAGUGCGCUUGAAGUGGGCGGAAUGUGCCGUGUAGCGGUGAAAUGCUUAGAUAUGGCACAGAACACCAAUUGCGAAGGCAGCUCACUAAGGCGAUACUGACGCUGAGGCACGAAAGCGUGGGGAUCAAACAGGAUUAGAAACCCGGGUAGUCC
rnacentral:rRNA from 1 species